rnacentral:rRNA from 1 species
CGGCGGACGGGUGAGUAACGCGUGAGCAACCAACCUUGUACAGGGGGAUAACAGGUGGAAACACCUGCUAAUACCGCAUAAGACCACGGCGCUGCAUGGUGCAGUGGUAAAAGGAAGGCAACUUCCGGUACAAGACGGGCUCGCGUCCCAUUAGCUAGUUGGCGGGGUAACGGCCCACCAAGGCGACGAUGGGUAGCCGGCCUGAGAGGGUGGACGGCCACACUGGGACUGAGACACGGCCCAGACUCCUACGGGAGGCAGCAGUGGGGAAUAUUGCGCAAUGGGGGGAACCCUGACGCAGCGACGCCGCGUGAGCGAAGAAGGCCUUCGGGUCGUAAAGCUCUGUCUUUGGGGACGAAGUAAGUGACGGUACCCAAGGAGGAAGCCCCGGCUAACUACGUGCCAGCAGCCGCGGUAAUACGUAGGGGGCGAGCGUUGUCCGGAAUUACUGGGCGUA